ensembl:lncRNA
CCCGGAGCCCAGAGCACCUAGCAGAAUGCCUCCCUCCAGACAGGGCCAUCACUGGACCGUCAAGGGGCACCCCAAGGGGUUCUGGAACACUCCCUCCCGAAGUAAAGGAGGAGGCGGGUGGACCAUAGGGCCCAGAGUCGGGUGCUCACUGUCCAUCUUGGGGGCACUGGGGCCAGCGAGACCAGAUGGCAGGGGAGCACGUAAUGUCCCGCUGCCUCAGGGAGGGGGCUCCUCUAGGGUGGGAGCUCUCUUCCAGAGGGCCUGAUACGCACUAUUUCACCGAGCGCCGAUGGCAUCCCUACUGUGUGCUCAGACUUGCCGAGGGACAGGGGCAGACGCCUCGCUCGCCCCCAGCGCUGGAAUGUCAGGUGCCCACAGCGGGGGCGGCAAGGCUUCCCCUCGGGCAGCCGUGGGGGGGGGGUCCAGGAGGACGAGAUCGGGCACAUCCAGAGGCCUUGAGAGGUUAGCUGGGGGCUUCGUGGGCUGAGCCAACACCAGCAGGCACACUGCUUUGAAGAGCCGGGACUCACACGGCAGUGGCUGCAAGUAUUCAAAGAGAUGGAAAUACAGCGGCAAAAACGGCUUCUGUCUCUCUGGUCUGGAGGUCGGAGGGAGGAGAAAGCGGAACGCUGUCAUGGAAACUGGCUGAGGUUUGGCGACACGAGAACAGGGUCGGAACAGCACCGAUCCAGGACCGCGGGGUGCUGCGUCCAGCCCAGCUAAGUCGACUGAGUGACAUCCCUGCGGGUCCUUCCAGCCCAGGAUUUAAGGUUCUAAGCUGCGUGCCCGAGAGGCCCGGGGGAAACUUUAGCAUCAAACAGAAUACCCGUUUUAGAAUCGUUUCUAAAACCCAGACUUCCAAAGUCCAGAGUUCAGUCUGGGAGCGGAGAAAAGGAAGUGUUUCUUAUAAGUGGGUCCCAAGGAGCAUGUUUCCCAGAGAGGACGGUGAGGCCCAGACGCCUGUCUUGAGUGCCCACAGCCGGCGGGCAGCAGGACCGAAGCAUGCUCACUUCUGGGAGCUCCCACAACACACCUUGGAUUCCAAUGCCUCCCCAAAGUCAGACUUGGCCUUCUCAAGGUCAUGAGACGAGUGAACAGUGAGAUUCUGGCCCAAGAAUCUCCCAUCCAGUGCGUUAGAAAGCGUGCCCUCCUCCAAACACAGGGAUGAAGGCUCCCAAGGAAAUGCCCGAGGUGGGGACAUUCUGCAUCACACCACCCAGAUGGGGGACAAUGGUCCACCUGCCUGCUGCUGCAGAGUUCGCAGCGAAGAAGUCUGGCUGUAAGACUCUGAGUUCAGGAGAAUCGUUCUUAGAGUGAGAAGACAUGAGGUGGGAAGAAAAGACGAGAUUCGAUUUCCUUUGCCUUUGGGGGGUCAAGCACAGCAACCACCGUGAGACGGUAAGAAAGGCUGACCUCGUCGGGAGCAGACUGCGUGGGGCAGGGAGUUAGAUCAGAUACAAUUCUCGGGGUGAUCAGAAACAGGUCUCGUCCCGCUCUCCUUUCAUCGGGGACAGAGAAAACACCGAGGCCUCUAAAUCAAAAUCAAUUCCUGUUAAGCCUUUGGCCAAUUUGGUUUGUGAUCUCUUUCAGCCUGGAUAAAGGUGCAGUAGAGAAAGGGCAUUUUGCUCUGAGAUCUGGAAGGACCCUUGGAAGGGACCUUGUCCUGCCUCCCUCCAGCAGCGGUGAGGGCGAAGCCUGUGCCUUGCCCGGUGAUGGACGAUCCCUCUGCCCGGGGCGGUUUCUGGAGACAAGCCCCUGGUUACACUCGGUAACAUCUGCUCCCGUCCGGCCGGUCUUAGCUCUGUCCUAAUUCUGCCUCCUGGGACCCAGACCCCAGUGAGCUAGGGGCCUCCUGCCCCCCCCCCCCGCAAAUGGCACGUCCCUGUCACGAUCCCUGCUGCCUGUGCGUGUGGCUUUAUUUGAUAUUUGCAGAAGUAACUGAGGAUCUCAGGGUGUGAUCAUCCUGGGGUGGGGGUGGGGGCUCUAAAUCCAAUGACAGGUGUCCUUAUAAGAGAAGCAGAGGGAGAUCUGAGACGCAGGCCCAUGAUGGAGGCAGAGGCCGGAGAGGGGCUGUCACAAGCCAGG